AUUGAACGCUGGCGGCAGGCUUAACACAUGCAAGUCGAACGAGUGGCGGACGGGUGAGUAAUGUCUGGGAAACUGCCUGAUGGAGGGGGAUAACUACUGGAAACGGUAGCUAACACCGCAUACCAUCAGAUGUGCCCAGAUGGGAUUAGCUAGUUGGUGGGGUAACGGCUAACCAAGGCGACGAUCCCUAGCUGGUCUGAGAGGAUGACCGGCGACACUGGAACGGAGACACGGUCCAGACGCCUACAGGAGGCAGCAGUGGGGAAGAUGGCACAAUGGGCGCAAGCCUGAUGCAGCGAUGCCGCGUGUAUGAGGAAGGCCUUCGGGUUGUAAAGUACUUACAGCGGGGAGGCGUUACCCGCAGAAGAAGCACCGGCUAACUCCGUGCCAGCAGCCGCGGUAAUUC
rnacentral:rRNA from 1 species